CACAACCCGUUGGUUUGAUCGGGAUGACCCUUCGGGAAAGGGAGACUACGAACUCAUCGUCGAUCUCAGGAAAGAAUAUCCGAACAAGAUCUGUGACAACCCCUUAGCGAUCAGCGUCCAGACGUUGGAUGGGACUCCUGCCUCCCAGACUGGACAAACGUUUGCCGUGUUCAGCGCCGCCGAAGGCUUUGCCUGUGUCAACCAGGAGCAGGCGCCGGGGAGAAAAUCCUGCCUAGACUACAAGGUCCAGUUCACCUGUCCCAAGAGCUUCUGCUAAGCAAAGGAGCACCAAAAGUGGGAUCCAAAGAUAUGCAGAACUUUCAACGAAGAGGAUUCUGUCAACCGCUGGAUUUGCAUCUUGCGUGUGCAAAAUGCUUCUCUCAAGGCAUACAAGCCACUGUUGAAAAUAAAGGCAUA